AACGAACGCUGGCGGCGUGGAUAAGACAUGCAAGUCGAACGCUUGUUAUGGGGUAGCAAUAUUCUAUGGCAGGAGUGGCGGAAGGGUGCGUAACAUGUGGGUAAUCUGCCGUGAAGACUGGGAUAACUUGCUGAAAGGCGAGCUAAUACCGGAUGAGAUAACCAGGAGGCAGCUUUUGGUUAUCAAAGUUGGGGACUGUAAAAGGCCUAACGCUUCAUGAUGAGCCCGCAACCUAUCAGCUAGUUGGUGAGGUAAAGGCUCACCAAGGCUAAGACGGGUAGCUGGUCUGAGAGGACGACCAGCCACACUGGAACUGAGAGACGGUCCAGACACCUACGGGUGGCAGCAGUCGAGAAUUUUUCACAAUGGCGCAAGCCUGAUGGAGCGACGCGCGUGGGGAUGAAGGGCUUCGGUCCGUAAACCCCUGUCAUUUGAGAACAAGUGUAGCUAAGUAACUACUGG
rnacentral:rRNA from 1 species